rnacentral:sRNA from 1 species
GAUACUCUUAUUAAGCGACGAGGUGCAA